CUACACAGGUAUAUAUACAUGGGACUUAUAUUAUUACAUUUUUAUUACUCCACUCGCAUGCCCAUCCCAAAUACCCAUCACGGAGGAGGGAUGUCUCUACUCCACUCGCAUUUCGCAUUCGCAAGGAAGAAAGACAUUUAUAGAAAUCAAUACAUGGGACUUAUAUUAUUACAUUUUUAUUCUAUGAAGUACAUGCUCAUUCCAAAUACCCAUCACGGAGGAGGGAUGUCUCUACUCCACUCGCAUUUCGCAUUCGCAAGGAAGAAAGACAUUUAUAGAAAUCACCACACAAUUAUGUUUAAUUGGAGGAGGUUGAGUCCGUGGGGACUCGAACCAUUGCCCUCAUGGUCAUGCUUAACUUUUAGGGUAAUGGUCCACCACUGGACUACAAGUCCAAGUGGCGAAUAGACAGUUACUUACAAUUAUUUUAUGAUGUUGAUGUGAUUCAUCUUUACAAGUAAUGCAUGUACGGACCCA
rnacentral:lncRNA from 1 species